ensembl:snoRNA small nucleolar RNA SNORD61
GCUGUGAUGAUCUUUAUGGUUUUGAUGAAGGAUGAAAUAAACAAACCAAUCCUCUAAGAAGUUCUGAGCUC